GACCGCGUAGCUCAGUUGGUAGAGCAUUGGGCUAGUAUUCCAAAGGUCGUAGGUUCGAUUCCCACCGUGGCCG